rnacentral:rRNA from 1 species
GAUGAACGCUGACAGAAUGCUUAACACAUGCAAGUCGAUUCAAGUUACCUUCGGGUAACAAGGAUGGCGGACGGGUGAGUAACGCGUAAGGAACUUGCCUCUUGGUCUGGGACAACUGUUGGAAACGACAGCUAAUACCGGAUAUUAUGAGAUUCUCGCAUGGGAAACUUAUGAAAUCUAUAUGCGCCAAGAGAGAGCCUUGCGUUCCAUUAGCUAGGUGGUGGGGUAACGGCCACCAAGGCGACGAUGGAUAGCCGGCAUGAGAGGGUGAACGGCCACAAGGGGACUGAGACACGGCCCUUACUCCUACGGGAGGCAGCAGUGGGGAAUAUUGGACAAUGGGCCACAAGCCUGAUCCAGCAAUUCUGUGUGCACGAUGAAGGUCUUCGGAUUGUAAAGUGCUUUCAGUUGGGAAGAAGAAAGUGACGGUACCAACAGAAGAAGCGACGGCUAAAUACGUGCCAGCAGCCGC